GACGAACGCUGGCGGCGUGCUUAACACAUGCAAGUCGAACGGAAAGGCCCUGCUUUUGUGGGGUGCUCGAGUGGCGAACGGGUGAGUAACACGUGAGUAACCUGCCCUUGACUUUGGGAUAACUUCAGGAAACUGGGGCUAAUACCGGAUAGGAGCUCCUGCUGCAUGGUGGGGGUUGGAAAGUUUCGGCGGUUGGGGAUGGACUCGCGGCUUAUCAGCUUGUUGGUGGGGUAGCGGCUUACCAAGGCUUUGACGGGUGGCCGGCCUGAGAGGGUGACCGGCCACAUUGGGACUGAGAUACGGCCCAGACUCCUACGGGAGGCAGCAGUGGGGAAUAUUGCACAAUGGGCGGAAGCCUGAUGCAGCAACGCCGCGUGCGGGAUGACGGCCUUCGGGUUGUAAACCGCUUUCGCCUGUGACGAAGCGUGAGUGACGGUAAUGGGUAAAGAAGCACCGGCUAACUACGUG
rnacentral:rRNA from 1 species